UCCAGUUCCAAACGACUGCACCAAAGAGUUGCUUCAUGAGGCCUCCCGGCGGCGUACUUGCUCCAGGGGAAAGUAUCAUAGCAACAGGUAACUGAAUUUGACACAAAUGAAUAAAUAUUAAUCGCUAGCUGUGGUGCUCGCAAGUUAUAACGACCUAUCCGUGCAUUCCCUUACAUCAAGUGCAGUCUUCUUCUCUGAAGCUUUGAUGCUACUACUUUUGAUCUCACAUUGCUGGUUUUGGGUGUGUGUGUGUGUGUGGCCAGACUCAGGAGCCACUGCGGCAGCAGCAGAUUCACUUCAAUGGGAAGGAGGUAGAACACAGAGAAGCUCAGUGCCGCUGGGGUCCCACCAGUGAAAGGUGCUCUUGCUGUUCUUCCUAGCGUAUGUAAAGGAGAUAAAUUCACAUGUACUAAAUAUAGUUGUGCCUUUUAUAUGAUAUGUUCUUGAGAAACUAAACACAAUUCCUGUCAUGUUGCUCAUCAAUGAUGUAACGCUUUCUGGAAGUACCAGGUGUUGCAUUAGGUAAAAUUGUCUAUUAGUUUUCUUGCACAAUAAAAGGGUUUAGCUUGUUACAACUAAAUCUCUACUAAUCCUUAAGGGUGGACGGAGGGUGUCCACAAGCCUCACCACGCCCCCGCCCGCGAUGUUGCGCCCCCUCUCUUGGGUAUGCUUGCCAUCCCCCCUCCUGUUUUUUUUCCUUUCGGAACCAUUGGUUACCGAGUAGCAUUGCAACUUUUGCUGGCUAAAGCCUGUGACGAUGAAUUCGCCCUUACCGUCACGAUUUCUUUCCAGUGUACGACGAAUCGAUCUGGGAGCGAUAUCAGUUUCUCGUUGCCAGUUGGCUAUGAUUUUUUUUCUUGUUGCACAUAAGUCAUGGCUCGUGGGUUGCCAUUUGAAAAAGGGUGUUUUUUUAUUCACUUGAAUUAUGUGUUGAUUUUCUGUUUCCUGUCACUGCCACCAGGAAAGCGAAGGAUGUGAUCAAGUCUGUGAAGAAGUGUAUAGGGAGCAGGAGCAAGACCACUCAACUCUUUACUGUUAUGGUGAGUUGUUUUCACAGAAGCAGCCCUCCUGGAUCCUGAUUCCACCAUCAACUAUUCAACUUGUGCGCUAUAGUUAUCUAGAUGACUAUGAUAGACACAUGAACACAUUUGUUCUUUAUUUGAUCAUGGAUCAUAGACAUGUAAAGAGGAAUGGUGACCUGUACUUUUUGCUCACGCAGCCAUCCACAAUGGAAAAGUCGAUGAAGGAAAAAAGAGCCUCUCUUGCUAAUGUUUACUGUUCAUUUGAUGUAAAAGGGGGCAUGGAAGUACUUCACACGUUUUCUUGUCUGCUGGGAUGAUUCUGUGCUUUAUUUAUGUCUUGAAUUUUUUAACUCUUAUUUUAGGUCUUGGUCCUGAUGUCACUGUACCUAAAUGGCCUAUCAUUUCUCAUCUUUUUUAAAUUAAUUAGCUCACAUUACAUAAUGUGCG
rnacentral:lncRNA from 1 species